rnacentral:rRNA from 1 species
CCUACGGGAGGCAGCAGUGGGGAAUCUUAGACAAUGGGGGCAACCCUNNUCUAGCCAUGCCGCGUGAGUGAUGAAGGCCUUAGGGUCGUAAAGCUCUUUCGCCUGUGAUGAUAAUGACAGUAGCAGGUAGAGAAACCCCGGCUAACUCCGUGCCAGCAGCCGCGGUAAUACGGAGGGGGUUAGCGUUGUUCGGAAUUACUGGGCGUAAAGCGCGCGUAGGCGGAUUAGAAAGUUGGGGGUGAAAUCCCGGGGCUCAACCCCGGAACUGCCUCCAAAACUGCUAGUCUAGAGUUCGAGAGAGGUGAGUGGAAUUCCGAGUGUAGAGGUGAAAUUCGUAGAUAUUCGGAGGAACACCAGUGGCGAAGGCGGCUCACUGGCUCGAUACUGACGCUGAGGUGCGAAAGUGUGGGGAGCAAACAGGAUUAGAUACCCUGGUAGUCCACACCGUAAACGAUGAAUGCCAGUCGUCGGGUAGUAUACUAUUCGGUGACACACCUAACGGAUUAAGCAUUCCGCCUGGGGAGUACGGUCGCAAGAUUAAAACUCAAAUGAAUUGACGG